rnacentral:rRNA from 1 species
CUGGCCUGCUCAAUGAUUGUUAAUUAAAUAGCCGCAGUAUCUUGACUGUGCGAAGGUAGCAUAAUCAUUUGUCUUUUAAUUGGAGGCUUGUAUGAAUGGUUGGAUGAGGGGUUGACUUUCUUUAUAUUAAUUGUUAGAAUUUAAUUUUUAGGUUAAAAAGCUUAAAUUUAUGAAUGGGACGAGAAGACCCUAUAGAAUUUUAUUUUCUUGGAUUUAUUUUAUUUUUGGUUAUUUUUAUUUUUAAUAUAUUUAGGGAAAUUUUGUUGGGGUGACAGGGGGAUUUUAAUAACUCUCUUUAAUUAUUUAUUACUGAUUAGUAUAUUAAUGAUCCUGUUUUAUGGAUAUUAAGAUUAAAUUACCUUAGGGAUAACAGCGUAAUUCUUUUGGAGAGUUCAUAUCGAUAAAAGAGAUUGCGACCUCGAUGUUGGAUUAAAAUAAGAUUUAAGUGCAGAAGCUUAAUUUCUAGGUCUGUUCGACCUUUAAAUUUUUAC